rnacentral:sRNA from 1 species
GUCUGGGUCAUCUUGUCUGCCCGCCGCUGGCCUGGCCCCGUCUGUCUCUCUCAGCAGCUGUCUUUCUCGCGCCCACUGGCCGGUCUCUCCUCUUCCCCGCAGUUGCCUCCUUCUCUGCCUGCCUGGGUGGCCGCCAUGGGCCGGAAGCGGCUCAUCACUGAUUCCUACCCGGUUGUGAAGAGGAGGGAGGGGCCCGCUGGGCACAGCAAGGGGGAGCUGGCACCCGAGCUAGGUCUCUGAGGCGUGAGGGAGGCAGGAGGAGUGGACACGGAGGGGCCUAGAGGACGUGGGCGGAGGGGCCAAUGGAAAGGGAAAGCCAGCCUCGCCCUGAAGAGCAGCUGUCAUUGCAGGGGAGGAGCCCCAGCCCCGCGACGAGGAGGAAGCGGAGCUGGAGCUGCUGAGGCAGUUUGACCUGGCCUGGCAGUACGGGCCCUGCACCGGUGAGAACCCACCCAGCCCCACGGAGGCGCCUCUCCCAGGCAGUCCCGUCACCCACACGUCUCUGAAGUCACCCAAGCGCUUGCGUGACUCUGACCCUCA